CGAACACAUAAUAUUAAGUACAGCCUGAAUGCAAUCUGCUACACAGUCUUAAAGGGCAUUAUUCCUAACAGUCAUAAUCUGUCCACGGAUGGCCCUUAAAGGGCCAGUAGCAGCAAUAUAAAAUACCACAUGCCCAAAUAUUGCAUUCAAAAGUACAAAUUCACAAGGGGCCAUAGUCAGCAGGUAGGAGGCGAGCAACCAGGCUUCUCCAGUUCACAGUGGCGAGGUUGGUUUCGCCACAGC